AAAAAGGGUACCCGCUACUUUAAUAGCGUGUUGAUCCGUUUUUAACGUGAUCUGCAGGGUAUGGCUAUCAAGACAUACCCAGUACGUAAUUUUUGUGAUUGCGAGGCUGUUAGCUGCCACUUGCACGGACGCCUCC